AUUUAUUCUGCAGUCGUCGGGCUUUUAAUCGUUAUUUGGAUUCAUAAAACAAACCAACGGCAGCCCAUUUCACCUUCCCCUUCUUCACGGCUAAACUUUAGUUUCUUGGGUUCAUCGUCUACUGCAACUCUGAUUAGGUCACCAAGCGUCAUCUUCCGCCUCCUUCCUUCUCGCCGAUGUGGUUUUUCUCGGCUCUCUCUUUGUCAGAUGUCUCGGUGGUACUCUAUGCAUUUGGUGGAGGUUUUCUGGUCUGCUCCGGUAUCUCUCUAUGAAGUUUGAAGCUCGAGAUCUUCUCGCCUCUUAGUGGUGGUUUUGUGCCACCGAAAGUUUCUUGGGGCCAGUAACCCUUGACGGCGGUUAUUCAUUUGUUUCUUUAGGGUUCUCCAGUAAGAUUAUGAACUGAAAGUGAUCGAAACGAAAGCCAAGCUUAUCACAUGAGAUAUUUUCGACCUGAGUUGCAAACUUUCAGAAGAAAGUUUUUCAAGUAGAUGUGACAUAGAAGUAUUCAGACAUUUGGAGUUGUGUAGGAAGCAUGCAGCUCACGAUUUGUCUGUCUUUUUAAGGAUCCCUGAGGAAGCUAGAGAGCUUGAAAAGCAACCCACACAAGUCACUAAGGAGAGUAUGAGUCUGUGCGAGGCCAAGUAUUUGAGAAGAUGCUGGAUAUGAUGCACAAUCUGAACAAACUCCAAGAAGGUUGUCUUUAAGAAAAAAUUGAAUUCAAAUGCAAAGAGGAGAAACCAUAUGUGGCCGAAACCAGCAUUGAUCAAGUUUUCUAACACAGAACUCCUAGGAUCGGAUUGGAAUCAAGUGGCAUUUAUUUUGUAAAUAUGAAAACACUCGGUUGAUGUAUGUGUUUUUAUUGUGGGACAAGAGAUUAUCCAUGUCUUUGGCUAGAUUGAUGAAGGAAAAUGGGUCUUCCAAGCCAGGAUUACUGAAAAAUUCCGUUAAGUUGCACUAUGUAGAUAAAACUCUGUUCAAAUGACAGACUCAGACAUUUGUAGUAGGCAAGUGUUAGUUAUUGUUCUUUAGAAAAAUAUCUUAGGAAUAUAGUUUCUCUUUAAGCA